CCUACGGGGGGCAGCAGUAGGGAAUCUUGCGCAAUGGGCGAAAGCCUGACGCAGCCAUGCCGCGUGUAUGAUGAAGGUCUUAGGAUUGUAAAAUACUUUCACCGGGGAAGCGGUACCCGGAGAAGAAGCCCCGGCUAACUUCGUGCCAGCAGCCGCGGUAAUACGAAGGGGGCUAGCGUUGCUCGGAAUUACUGGGCGUAAAGGGCGCGUAGGCGGAUACUUAAGUCGGGGGUGAAAGCCCAGGGCUCAACCCUGGAACAGCCUUCGAUACUGGGUAUCUUGAGUACGGGAGAGGUGUGUGGAACUCCGAGUGUAGAGGUGAAAUUCGUAGAUAUUCGGAAGAACACCAGUGGCGAAGGCGACACACUGGCCCGUACUGACGCUGAGGCGCGAAAGCGUGGGGAGCAAACAGGAUUAGAUACCCCAGUAGUC
rnacentral:rRNA from 1 species